GGUCAAAGAUUCUCACAUAGGUAUUGCCUUCCCCACUGGGGGAUGGAAUUAGGUAAUGCCUGGGACAGUUCCAGUUGUCUCAGCAAGAGGCUAUGAGUGACUGGGACCUGGAGGGGCACAAGAAGCUCUCCAUAGUGCAUAAGGUGCACCCACAAUUAAAUAAAUGCAUGCGGUCCCAGUCUCUCCUGGUUUGACUGGGGGACUUCCUGUAGCUCCUGUGGAAUGGAGGAACAGCCAGAAGAAUUAGAAGCGACCCUGCAUGUCAUUAAAAAAAAGUGGAGUCUGAGAUAAAGGGCCCUGUCCUUUCCCCUGCGACGUUUAACAUGCACUGCAAUUUCUGAUUAAGAGGCAGUGUGAGCCAGAAGCAAAAAGCUUACCAGGCAGCAAUCAUGUCCUGGUCACCUCUGCAUUGUCCUGAAGGCUGAGCAACACCCAAGUCACAAAACCUCUUCACUGAUUGUCAUGACGACUGUUUAAAUCCAGUCUUCACACCUGACCACGAGUCUCUGCCUUUCUGAAGAUCGCGGACUUGUUUCACCCGACUCCUCCCAGCCACGUGGGGAGGGCAUGCGCCGUUCACGGAACCUUGGUUUCUCUGAUCUCGUUUUCUUUUUCCAUGCAACAUCCAUCACAAGAUGCAAAGAGGCCUCUGCAACGGAAACCAAGAACUCUGUACAGCACCUUCAGCUCUUGCAGAGGAAAUGUGAAUUCCUUACCUUAUGGAAAAAAGUGACUAUUUUUAUUUUAAUUCUCUAAAAGUCAUUUAUUUUUAUUGUGAAUCUGUGAGAGUGCUUGCCUGCAUGCUUUUAUAUGUACCACACAGAUGCAGUGCUUAUAGAGGCCAGAAGAGGGCGCCAGAUCCACUAGACCUGGAGUCACAGAUGAUGAGCUGCCAAGUGGGUGCUGGGAAUUGAACUCAGGAUCCCUGCAAGAACAGCCAGUGCUCUAACCACUGAGUCACCUCUCCAGCUCCACUGUUGUUGUUUUUUUAAAAUGUUGGCUAUGUUAAUCUAAAAAUGACCAAGGCUGUCGUGGCACGAACAGUGCGGACCUGUGUACAGAAUCUCUCUCUCAUUCAUGUUUGUCACUAGUCACUUCUGUGACAACAUCUAGGAGACAUUGGCUGGGUGUGCUGGCACACGCUUUUAACCUCAGCACCCAGGAAGCAGAGGCAGGUGGAUCUCUGUGGAUUUAAGGCCAGCCUACUCUACACAGUGAGUUCUGAGCCAGCCAGGGCUAUGAAGUGAGACCCUUUCUAACAAAACAAAAUAAAACAAAAAUCAAGAGGGAACAUGUACUGGGGCCUGGUGAGUUUAGAAGCUCCAGGGUCAGUGAAUCUCAUUGCAUUGCAGAUGAAUGGCUGGCAGAAAUGUCCCCUGUCUAUGUGGUGGUAUUAUUAUUUCCUUGGCUUUGAAGAAGCUUUUUAGUUAGAGUCUUUUCUCUUCUCUUCAUUUCUUUUUCUUUUUGCUUUGACAUAGGGUCUUAUUAUGUAACCCAUGGUGGUAUUGAACUCACAAUCCUCCUGUCUCAGCCUCCUGAGUGUUAGUUUACAGGUGUGCCUCCAUACACUUGGUUUCUAUAGGAGCUUUUUCAUUUGAUGCCAUCCUAUUGGUCAAUGAAAACACUUGUGCUUGUAUGUGUAUUGUGUGUAUGUGAGUGUGUGUGCACGCAUGCGUACAUGUAUGUGUGUGUACAUGCAUUGUGUGUGCACAUGUGUGUGUAUAUAUGUGUGUGUAUAUGUGUGUGUAUGUGUGUGUGUGUGUCUUUGCACCAAAUGGUCUCAAGGGUCAAACCCUGAUCAACAGGCUUGGUGGCAAGCCCCUUUAUCUGCUGAGCCCUCUUUUAGGAAGACACGGACAAUCCCUAGACCUUGCAGUGUCUCCACCACGUUUCCCUCCUCUAAUUUCAAGGCUCCAUCUUUGGUUUCCAGCUGUUUUUUUUUUUUGCCCCGGUGACAGAUAAGGAUCUACUUUCAUUUCACAUGGGGCUGCCCAAUUUUUCCAGAACCAUUUAUUAAAGAGGUUGUUUUCCUCCUU
ensembl:lincRNA Gm14258 predicted gene 14258